GUUAGAAACUUCUAGCAGCCAUUUUGUCUAAAUAUGCGUGAAUAGCUUAUCUACUGAUUCCAGUGCAAUGGGUAAAUAGACAUUUUACUAACUACAAAGUUAUAUGUGUAUAUAUUCAUAUUUUAUUUCCACAACAAUUAUCAUAUGUUGUUACAAAGCCAUAUUUCCUAACAGUCCUGGAUUGUUUGGUAGAGUCCUAGUUUGGGUUUGCUCUCCACUGUCCCACAAUAAUUAACAGGUUAACGUUAUUACAGACAAAUUACAGUAGAUUUACAAAUUAAGAGUUUUAAUCUUUUUAAAAGUGGC